UUUCUGCUACUAUUUUCAUUUGGGUUGGAGAUACAGAUUUUUUAGCUGAAUCGACAUCUUCCAAACAUUCGUCGUUUUUUGGACAUACCUUAAAUUUAUUUUGCUAUUUUAAGUAGGACGUCUUCCAGUUGAGCUAACAUACUGCAUUGAAGAUUUGUAUUAGAGUAAGCUACAAUUCCACCUUUUUCCAGGAAACUAAGGUAAGACAUUUUAUAUAUGUACUUUCUUGAUGAAUAUAUAAGUUAUAAGUGCAUUAGAAUUUUUGUAUCAUAAUUGUUAUUGUUAGUUAUAUAUACGCGAAAUAGACAAAUACAAUUCUUUCUCUGCCCCUUUCCUUGCCGCAAAGACCACCAUGAUUGCACUCAGGUGCACUAGAAAAACUAACUCAUGACAGCAUAUGUAAUUUAAACUAAAUUAGUACCUAACCUAACAGGCUCUGUUACAUUUCUAUUUUGUUUCCUUCUUUUCUCUUACUUCCCUAAAUUUAAUUACUUUUGUUUUUUUAAUGUUUAGUUCUAAUCUUAUCUUUUCAAAGGAUCAAUACUUGUCGUUAAUAAAGAAGUCAUCUGUUGCGCUAACGUAUUUUCGUCUUACAACUAUACCACCUUAGUUUAUUCUAACCAUUGUUUCCUCCAAUUAACUUACAACUGUAUAAACUUUAUGUCCAUUAAUGUAAUUCCUCUGUAAUUUUCAUUUUUUUUUGUGGCUACUUUUCUUAAAAAUCGGUGUUAUCUCUCUCUUUUCGUUUCUUCUUUUUAUAUUAAAGUGCAUCACUAUCCUUCCAUCACUUCCACCUAAGACUUUUUCAAAAUGUUUAAACCAUUCACUUUAAUCUAUCUUCUCACUUGUUUUCCCAGGUAUUUUUUUUAUAUAUUUAUUCACAUAUUUGUUUGAAACCAACUAAAACAGUUAUAUUACAGAUUAAAUUAGUUUAUAAAGGUUUAAAUGAAAGAGUAUACUUUAUAAACAAAGUUUAUGUUUUAUUUUAUGAACAAAUUUUUACAUUACUAUGUUUAUGUGUUGUAUACUUUUUAAUUAUAGGUAUACAGUCACCUUAAAAAUAACACCAAAGUUCUUAAUUAACUUAGUAUAUUUUCUUAAACAAUUUUUAAAUUAUGGGUCUAUUUAAAGCAAUAUAUUAACAAAUUUAAUGUACAUGAAAUAUAAUGAAAAUGUGUUUACUACAAACGCAGUAGUGAUUUUAAAUCACUCAUAAGAAAAUAACAACCUUUAUAGAAAAAUUAUUAAAUCUAAAAAUAAAAUUCAUAAAA